CUCAUGUUCACCUGGAAGCUUGUACCACCUUUGGGAAGAGAAAUCAGUGAUGACCACAGCUCCCAUACUAGAGCACUGAAGGAAACAAUGUACUGAUGUCAAAGAAACACAAAUGUCCCUGGCCUUCUGGGAUUCUGCUUGGCGCCAAUGAAAGGCAAGGAGGGCGAGACCCUCCAAGAGACUCCCAUGCCUCUUGCCUUUUUUCUACCUUGCAUCCCUGAUGUUUUCAAGGAAGGAGAGUCUCUGGUGAUACUGUAACAAUACUGUAAAGAUUGGAGACCCAGAGCAGAGUGAGCCAUGACUUGUGGGGCAGAGAGGUAAGUGCCCUCAGGACAUCAUAGGGGGCUUGGGGAUAGGGACUGUGUGCACUGCUUACCAAAGCAGUGGGAAAGGAAUAGGAAAUGGCUGGGUUGGGAAUGUGGGGUCUGGAUGC
rnacentral:lncRNA from 1 species